rnacentral:rRNA from 1 species
AUUGAACGCUGGCGGCAUGCUUUACACAUGCAAGUCGAACGGUAACAGGCCGCAAGGUGCUGACGAGUGGCGAACGGGUGAGUAAUGCAUCGGAACGUGCCCAGUCGUGGGGGAUAACGCAGCGAAAGCUGCGCUAAUACCGCAUACGAUCUAUGGAUGAAAGCGGGGGACCGUAAGGCCUCGCGCGAUUGGAGCGGCCGAUGUCAGAUUAGGUAGUUGGUGGGGUAAAGGCUCACCAAGCCAACGAUCUGUAGCUGGUCUGAGAGGACGACCAGCCACACGGGGGCUGAGAAACGGCCCAGCAUCCUACGGGAGGGAGCAGUGGGGAAUUUUGGACAAUGGGCGCAAGCCUGAUCCAGCAAUGCCGCGUGCAGGAAGAAGGCCUUCGGGUUGUAAACUGCUUUUGUACGGAACGAAACGGCUCUCACUAAUACUGGGGGCUAAUGACGGUACCGUAAGAAUAAGCACCGGCUAACUACGUGCCAGCAGCCGCAGUAACAC